rnacentral:rRNA from 1 species
CGCGACGGGUGAAGUAAUAACAUACGGAACGUGUUCUUCUAGGGUGGGGGGAAUAACUCGACCCGAAAGGCUAAUACCGCAUGAGACCUGGAGGGUGAAUGGCGGGGGAUCGCAAGACCUCGCGCUGGAAGAGCGGCCGAUGUCCGAUUAGCUAGUUGGUGAGGUAAAGGCUCACCAAGGCGACGAUCGGUAGCCGGACCGAGAGGUUGAACGGCCACAUUGGGACUGAGACACGGCCCAG